UGGGGAAUAUUGGACAAUGGGCGCAAGCCUGAUCCAGCCAUGCCGCGUGAGUGAUGAAGGCCCUAGGGUUGUAAAGCUCUUUCACCGGUGAAGUUAAUGACGGUAACCGGAGAAGAAGCCCCGGCUAACUUCGUGCCAGCAGCCGCGGUAAUACGAAGGGGGCUAGCGUUGUUCGGAUUUACUGGGCGUAAAGCGCACGUAGGCGGACUUUUAAGUCAGGGGUGAAAUCCCGGGGCUCAACCCCGGAACUGCCUUUGAUACUGGAAGUCUUGAGUAUGGUAGAGGUGAGUGGAAUUCCGAGUGUAGAGGUGAAAUUCGUAGAUAUUCGGAGGAACACCAGUGGCGAAGGCGGCUCACUGGACCAUUACUGACGCUGAGGUGCGAAAGCGUGGGGAGCAAACAGG
rnacentral:rRNA from 1 species